UUAAGUUAUUAAGGGCGCACGGUGGAUGCCUUGGCACUAGAAGCCGAUGAAGGACGUUACUAACGACGAUAUGCUUUGGGGAGCUGUAAGUAAGCUUUGAUCCAGAGAUCUCCGAAUGGGGAAACCCAGCAUGAGUUAUGUCAUGUUAUCGAUAUGUGAAUACAUAGCAUAUCAGAAGGCACACCCGGAGAACUGAAACAUCUUAGUACCCGGAGGAAGAGAAAGAAAAUUCGAUUCCCUUAGUAGCGGCGAGCGAAACGGGAAGAGCCCAAACCAACAAGCUUGCUUGUUGGGGUUGUAGGACACUCUAUACGGAGUUACAAAGGACGACAUUAGACGAAUCAUCUGGAAAGAUGAAUCAAAGAAGGUAAUAAUCCUGUAGUCGAAAAUGUUGUCUCUCUUGAGUGGAUCCUGAGUACGACGGAGCACGUGAAAUUCCGUCGGAAUCUGGGAGGACCAUCUCCUAAGGCUAAAUACUCUCUAGUGACCGAUAGUGAACCAGUACCGUGAGGGAAAGGUGAAAAGCACCCCGGAAGGGGAGUGAAAUAGAACCUGAAACCGUGUGCUUACAAGUAGUCAGAGCCCGUUAAUGGGUGAUGGCGUGCCUUUUGUAGAAUGAACCGGCGAGUUACGAUUUGAUGCAAGGUUAAGCAGUAAAUGUGGAGCCGUAGCGAAAGCGAGUCUGAAUAGGGCGUUUAGUAUUUGGUCGUAGACCCGAAACCAGGUGAUCUACCCUUGGUCAGGUUGAAGUUCAGGUAACACUGAAUGGAGGACCGAACCGACUUACGUUGAAAAGUGAGCGGAUGAACUGAGGGUAGCGGAGAAAUUCCAAUCGAACCUGGAGAUAGCUGGUUCUCUCCGAAAUAGCUUUAGGGCUAGCCUCAAGUGAUGAUUAUUGGAGGUAGAGCACUGUUUGGACGAGGGGCCCCUCUCGGGUUACCGAAUUCAGACAAACUCCGAAUGCCAAUUAAUUUAACUUGGGAGUCAGAACAUGGGUGAUAAGGUCCGUGUUCGAAAGGGAAACAGCCCAGACCACCAGCUAAGGUCCCAAAAUAUAUGUUAAGUGGAAAAGGAUGUGGCGUUGCCCAGACAACUAGGAUGUUGGCUUAGAAGCAGCCAUCAUUUAAAGAGUGCGUAAUAGCUCACUAGUCGAGUGACACUGCGCCGAAAAUGUACCGGGGCUAAACAUAUUACCGAAGCUGUGGAUUGUCCUUUGGACAAUGGUAGGAGAGCGUUCUAAGGGCGUUGAAGCAUGAUCGUAAGGACAUGUGGAGCGCUUAGAAGUGAGAAUGCCGGUGUGAGUAGCGAAAGACGGGUGAGAAUCCCGUCCACCGAUUGACUAAGGUUUCCAGAGGAAGGCUCGUCCGCUCUGGGUUAGUCGGGUCCUAAGCUGAGGCCGACAGGCGUAGGCGAUGGAUAACAGGUUGAUAUUCCUGUACCACCUAUAAUCGUUUUAAUCGAUGGGGGGACGCAGUAGGAUAGGCGAAGCGUGCGAUUGGAUUGCACGUCUAAGCAGUAAGGCUGAGUAUUAGGCAAAUCCGGUACUCGUUAAGGCUGAGCUGUGAUGGGGAGAAGACAUUGUGUCUUCGAGUCGUUGAUUUCACACUGCCGAGAAAAGCCUCUAGAUAGAAAAUAGGUGCCCGUACCGCAAACCGACACAGGUAGUCAAGAUGAGAAUUCUAAGGUGAGCGAGCGAACUCUCGUUAAGGAACUCGGCAAAAUGACCCCGUAACUUCGGGAGAAGGGGUGCUCUUUAGGGUUAACGCCCAGAAGAGCCGCAGUGAAUAGGCCCAAGCGACUGUUUAUCAAAAACACAGGUCUCUGCUAAACCGUAAGGUGAUGUAUAGGGGCUGACGCCUGCCCGGUGCUGGAAGGUUAAGAGGAGUGGUUAGCUUCUGCGAAGCUACGAAUCGAAGCCCCAGUAAACGGCGGCCGUAACUAUAACGGUCCUAAGGUAGCGAAAUUCCUUGUCGGGUAAGUUCCGACCCGCACGAAAGGCGUAACGAUUUGGGCACUGUCUCAACGAGAGACUCGGUGAAAUCAUAGUACCUGUGAAGAUGCAGGUUACCCGCGACAGGACGGAAAGACCCCGUGGAGCUUUACUGUAGCCUGAUAUUGAAAUUCGGCACAGCUUGUACAGGAUAGGUAGGAGCCUUUGAAACGUGAGCGCUAGCUUACGUGGAGGCGCUGGUGGGAUACUACCCUAGCUGUGUUGGCUUUCUAACCCGCACCACUUAUCGUGGUGGGAGACAGUGUCAGGCGGGCAGUUUGACUGGGGCGGUCGCCUCCUAAAAGGUAACGGAGGCGCUCAAAGGUUCCCUCAGAAUGGUUGGAAAUCAUUCAUAGAGUGUAAAGGCAUAAGGGAGCUUGACUGCGAGACCUACAAGUCGAGCAGGGUCGAAAGACGGACUUAGUGAUCCGGUGGUUCCGCAUGGAAGGGCCAUCGCUCAACGGAUAAAAGCUACCCCGGGGAUAACAGGCUUAUCUCCCCCAAGAGUUCACAUCGACGGGGAGGUUUGGCACCUCGAUGUCGGCUCAUCGCAUCCUGGGGCUGUAGUCGGUCCCAAGGGUUGGGCUGUUCGCCCAUUAAAGCGGUACGCGAGCUGGGUUCAGAACGUCGUGAGACAGUUCGGUCCCUAUCCGUCGUGGGCGUAGGAAAUUUGAGAGGAGCUGUCCUUAGUACGAGAGGACCGGGAUGGACAUACCUCUGGUGUACCAGUUGUCGUGCCAACGGCAUAGCUGGGUAGCUAUGUGUGGACGGGAUAAGUGCUGAAAGCAUCUAAGCAUGAAGCCCCCCUCAAGAUGAGAUUUCCCAACUUCGGUUAUAAGAUCCCUCAAAGAUGAUGAGGUUAAUAGGUUCGAGGUGGAAGCAUGGUGACAUGUGGAGCUGACGAAUACUAAUCGAUCGAAGACUUAAUCAA
rnacentral:rRNA from 1 species